rnacentral:rRNA from 1 species
UACGUAGGGGUGCAAGCGUUGUCCGGAAUUAUUGGGCGUAAAGGGCUCGUAGGCGGUUUGUCGCGUCGGGAGUGAAAUCCACUGGCUUACUGGUGGCUUGCUUUCAUACGGGCAGACUGGAGGUAUGCAGGGGGAGAACGGAAUUCCUGGUGUAGCGGUGAAAUGCGCAGAUAUCAGGAGGAACACCGGUGGCGAAGGCGGU